rnacentral:rRNA from 1 species
UCUCUAAGGCUGAGACACGACGUCGAGCUACUACGGUAGUGAAGUCAUUGAUGCCAUGCUUCCAGGAAAAGCCUCUAAGCUUCAGAUAGUCAGGAAUCGUACCCCAAACCGACACAGGUGGUCGGGUAGAGAAUACCAAGGCGCUUGAGAGAACUCGGGUGAAGGAACUAGGCAAAAUGGUACCGUAACUUCGGGAGAAGGUACGCUCUUGAUGGUGAAGUCCCUCGCGGAUGGAGCUGACGAGAGUCGCAGAUACCAGGUGGCUGCAACUGUUUAUUAAAAACACAGCACUGUGCAAAAUCGCAAGAUGACGUAUACGGUGUGACGCCUGCCCGGUGCCGGAAGGUUAAUUGAUGGGGUUAGCGCAAGCGAAGCUCUUGAUCGAAGCCCCGGUAAACGGCGGCCGUAACUAUAACGGUCCUAAGGUAGCGAAAUUCCUUGUCGGGUAAGUUCCGACCUGCACGAAUGGCGUAAUGAUGGCCACGCUGUCUCCACCCGAGACUCAGUGAAAUUGAAAUCGCUGUGAAGAUGCAGUGUACCCGCGGCUAGACGGAAAGACCCCGUGAACCUUUACUACAGCUUGGCACUGAACAUUGAACCUACAUGUGUAGGAUAGGUGGGAGGCUAUGAAGACGUGACGCCAGUUGCGUUGGAGCCGUCCUUGAAAUACCACCCUUGUAUGUUUGAUGUUCUAACUUAGACCCGUUAUCCGGGUUGAGGACAGUGCCUGGUGGGUAGUUUGACUGGGGCGGUCUCCUCCCAAAGAGUAACGGAGGAGCACGAAGGUGGGCUAAUCACGGUUGGACAUCGUGAGGUUAGUGCAAUGGCAUAAGCCCGCUUAACUGCGAGAAUGACGGUUCGAGCAGGUGCGAAAGCAGGUCAUAGUGAUCCGGUGGUUCUGUAUGGAAGGGCCAUCGCUCAACGGAUAAAAGGUACUCCGGGGAUAACAGGCUGAUACCGCCCAAGAGUUCAUAUCGACGGCGGUGUUUGGCACCUCGAUGUCGGCUCAUCACAUCCUGGGGCUGAAGUCGGUCCCAAGGGUAUGGCUGUUCGCCAUUUAAAGUGGUACGCGAGCUGGGUUUAGAACGUCGUGAGACAGUUCGGUCCCUAUCUGCCGUGGGCGUUGGAAGAUUGAAGGGGGCUGCUCCUAGUACGAGAGGACCGGAGUGGACGAACCUCUGGUGUUCGGGUUGUGUCGCCAGACGCAUUGCCCGGUAGCUAAGUUCGGAAUUGAUAAGCGCUGAAAGCAUCUAAGCGCGAAGCGAGCCCUGAGAUGAGUCUUCCCUGACAGUUUAACUGUCCUAAAGGGUUGUUCGAGACUAGAACGUUGAUAGGCAGGGUGUGUAAGCGUUGUGAGGCGUUGAGCUAACCUGUACUAAUUGCCCGUGAGGCUUAACCAU